UACGUAGGGAGCAAGCGUUGUCCGGAAUCAUUGGGCGUAAAGCGCGCGUAGGUGGCCUCAUAAGUCCGCUGUGAAAGUCAAAAGGCUCAACCUUUUGAAAGCCGGUGGAUACUGUGAGGCUAGAGUACGGAAGAGGCGAGUGGAAUUCCUGGUGUAGCGGUGGAAUGCGCAGAUAUCAGGAGGAACACCAAUAGCGAAGGCAGCUCGCUGGGACGUUACUGACACUGAGGCGCGAAAGCGUGGGGAGCGAACAGG
rnacentral:rRNA from 1 species